rnacentral:rRNA from 1 species
CCUUCUUCUUCUCUCUUUCUCCUUCUUUCCUUUUUUUCCCUCUCUUUCCUUCUUUUCUUCCAGUUGGACGUGAAAGCGCCCGGCUCAACCGGGCGAGGACGUACCGAACUGCGGGACUAGAGGCAGGGAGAGGCGUGUGGAAUUCCGGGUGUAGUGGUGAAAUGCGUAGAGAUCCGGAGGAACACCAGUGGCGAAGGCGACACGCUGGGCCUGGCCUGACGCUCAGACGCGAAAGCAUGGGGAGCGAACGG